UAGGGAAUCUUCCACAAUGGACGCAAGUCUGAUGGAGCAACGCCGCGUGAGUGAAGAAGGCUUUCGGGUCGUAAAACUCUGUUAUUGAAGAAGAACGUGUGUGACAGUAACUGGUCAUGCAGUGACGGUAUUCAAUCAGAAAGUCACGGCUAACUACGUGCCAGCAGCCGCGGUAAUACGUAGGUGGCAAGCGUUGUCCGGAUUUAUUGGGCGUAAAGCGAGUGCAGGCGGUCUUUUAAGUCUGAUGUGAAAGCCUUCGGCUUAACCGAAGAAGGGCAUCGGAAACUGGGAGACUUGAGUGCAGAAGAGGAGAGUGGAACUCCAUGCGUAGCGGUGAAAUGCGUAGAUAUAUGGAAGAACACCAGUGGCGAAGGCGGCUCUCUGGUCUGUAACUGACGCUGAGGCUCGAAAGCGUGGGUAGCAAAACAGGAUUAGAUA
rnacentral:rRNA from 1 species